AGAACGAACGCUGGCGGCAGGCUUAACACAUGCAAGUCGAGCGAGGACUUCGGUCCUAGCGGCGGACGGGUGAGUAACGCGUGGGAACGUGCCCCUUUCUUCGGAAUAGCCUCGGGAAACUGGGAGUAAUGCCGAAUACGUCCCGUAAGGGAGAAAGAUUUAUCGGAGAGGGAUCGGCCCGCGUUGGAUUAGGUAGUUGGUGGGGUAAUGGCCUACCAAGCCGACGAUCCAUAGCUGGUUUGAGAGGAUGAUCAGCCACACUGGGACUGAGACACGGCCCAGACUCCUACGGGAGGCAGCAGUUAGGAAUCUUGCGCAAUGGGCGAAAGCCUGACGCAGCAACGCCGCGUGGGGGAUGAAUGCUCUCGGGUUGUAAACCCCUUUCAGCGGGGACGAUUGUGACGGUACCCGCAGAAGAAGGACCGGCCAACUACGUGCCAGCAGCCGC
rnacentral:rRNA from 1 species